AACGAACGCUGGCGGCAUGCCUAACACAUGCAAGUCGAACGAAACCUUCGGGUCUAUUGGCGCACGGGUUCGUAACGCGUGGGAACCUUCCCUUAGGGUCGGAAUAACUCCCCGAAAGGGGUGCUAAUACCGGAUAAUGUCUUCUGACCAAAGAUUUAUUGCCUUUGGAUGGUCCCUCGUUGGAUUAGCUAGUUGGUAGGGUAAAAGCAUACCAAGGCGACGAUCCAUAGCUGGUCUGAGAGGAUGAUCAGCCACACUGGGAGUGAGACACGGCCCAGACUCCUACGGGAGGCAGCAGUGGGGAAUAUUGGAAAAUGGGCGAAAGCAUGAUGCAGCAAUGCCGGGUGAGUGAUGAAGGCAUUAGGGUUGUAAAGCUCUUUUAACCGGGAUGAUAAUGACAGUACCGGGAGAAUAAGCUACGGCUAACUACGUG
rnacentral:rRNA from 1 species